CCUACGGGAGGCAGCAGUGAGGAAUAUUGGUCAAUGGGCGCAAGCCUGAACCAGCCAAGUAGCGUGAAGGAUGACUGCCCUGCGGGUUGUAGACUUCUUUUAUGAGGGAAUAAAGUGAGGCACGCGUGCCUUUUUGUAUGUACUUUAUGAAAAAGGAUCGGCUAACUCCGUGCCAGCAGCCGCGGUAAUACGGAGGAUCCGAGCGUUAUUCGGAUUUAUUGGGUUUAAAGGGAGCGCAGAUGGGUUGUUAAGUCAGUUGGGAAAGGUUGGGGCUCAACCGGACAAUUGCAAUUGAUACUGGCAGCCUUGAGUCCAGUGGAGGGAUGCGGAAUGCGCGGUGUAGCGGUGAAAUGCUUAGAUAUCGCGAAGAACUCCGAUUGCGAAGGCAGCUUACUGAACCGCCACUGACACUGAUGCUCGAAAGCGUGGGUAUCAAACAGGAUUAGAUACCCUUGUAGUC
rnacentral:rRNA from 1 species